rnacentral:lncRNA from 1 species
AUUAAUGUGGCUGUGGCAAUUUUAUGUGAUUUGAAAGUUGGAACCCCUCAUGAAUUUGCAUUUAUUGUCCCACAAGCUUGGUGAUGUACAGUGGAAAAUAAUCCAGUGCUUCAAAAGUGCCUUGGAAUUUUUGCAAUCCAAAGUUUUUAAAGUUCAACACCAGAUUUUAGGAUAUAAACUGAAAAUUUAAAUAACUAAAAAGUUCACUCAAUCUGUAAGAAUGUGUAAGACAAGAAAAUUCACCUUGGUGCUUUUUCCUUGCAGAUAAUUUUNGAGGAUGUGGGCAGUGAGGAGGAGGAGCAGGAGGAGGAUGAAGCUCAGUUCCAGGAGACAGAUUCAGGCAGUGAUGAAGACUUCCUGAUGGAGGAUGAUGAUGACAGUGACUAUGGCAGUUCAAAAAAGAAAAACAAGAAAGUUUCCAAGAAAUCCAAACCAGAGAGGAAAGAAAAGAAAAUGCCCAAGCCCAGGCUAAAGGCUACAGAGGUUUGGUUGAAAUCUUGAGGUUCACAAAAAUAUUGAAAGCAGCAGGAUGGAAUAAUGAGCUGAUUUUAAUUCUUUUAAUCAAUUUCUAAAUGAAGAAUUAAAAAAUAUGAAUAAAAACUCAGGAAAACUUUCCCUGCCA